rnacentral:rRNA from 1 species
CCUACGGGCGGCAGCAGUGGGGAAUCUUCCGCAAUGGGCGCAAGCCUGACGGAGCAACGCCGCGUGAAUGAAGAAGGUCUUCGGAUCGUAAAGUUCUGUUCUUAGGGAAGAAGUCUUCGGUUGUGAAUAAUGACUUAAGGUGACGGUACCUAUGGCGACAGCUCCGGCUAACUACGUGCCAGCAGCCGCGGUUAUGCGUAGGGAGGGAGCGUUGUCCGGAAUUUUUGGGCGUAAAGGGCGCGGAGGCGGGAACUUAAGUUAGAUGUGAAAAAUGCGGGGUUAACCUGGAGACUGCAUUUAAAACUGGGUUUCUUGAGGGAGGGAGAGGAAAGUGGAAUGCCUGGUGUAGCGGUGAAAUGCGUAGAUAUUAGGAGGAACACCAGUGGCGAAGGCGACUUUCUGGAGUGUACCUGACGCUGAGGCGCGAAAGCGUGGGGAGCGAACAGGAUUAGAUACCCGAGUAGUC